CUGUACUGAGGGCAGAUACACGCGCGAGAUCCAGAGGCUUACAUCCCCAGCCGCUUGGCCCACCAGAGACAAGAACAGGAUGAUAAGCAAUGGAAUGGCAUUGAACUCUCCUGCUGAAGGACUUGCAUUUCAAUGUAGAUUCUGAGGCUGGGUGAAAACUUCUCUGUCACCUUUACUACAGCAUUCUCACCCAUUUAUAUUUCUU
rnacentral:lncRNA from 1 species